rnacentral:rRNA from 1 species
CGCGCAGGCGGUCUUGUCAGUCAGGUGUGAAAGCCCGGGGCUCAACCCUGGAAGUGCACUUGAAACAGCAAGACUUGAAUACGGGAGAGGAGAGAGGAAUUCCUGGUGUAGAGGUGAAAUUCGUAGAUAUCAGGAGGAACACCGAUGGCGAAGGCAUCUCUCUGGACCGAUAUUGACGCUGAGGCGCGAAGGCGUGGGUAGCGAACG